UCGGGAAUAUUGCGCAAUGGAGGAAACUCUGACGCAGUGACGCCGCGUAUAGGAAGAAGGUUUUCGGAUUGUAAACUAUUGUCGUUAGGGAAGAUACAAGACAGUACCUAAGGAGGAAGCCCCGGCUAACUAUGUGCCAGCAGCCGCGGUAAUACAUAGGGGCAAGCGUUAUCCGGAUUAUUGGUGUAAAGGGUGCGUAGAUGGAGGAGCAAGUUGGUUGUGAAAUCCCUCGGCUCAACUGAGGAACUGCAACCAAAACUACUUCCCUUGAGUGUCGGAGAGGAAAGUGGAAUUCCUAGUGUAGCGGUGAAAUGCGUAGAUAUUAGGAGGAACACCAGUGGCGAAGGCGACUUUCUGGACGAUAACUGACAUUGAGGCACGAAAGUGUGGGGAGCAAACAGGAUUAGAUACC
rnacentral:rRNA from 1 species